rnacentral:lncRNA from 1 species
GUCAUAGGGCUGGGAGACUCAAGCCUCACAUUACUAUAUGACUAGGUCAUGUGAUAGAGUAGAAUCAGAAUAUCAGUGUUAAUACUCUAUGCCAUGGACAGGAAUACAAAAGCAAAUCUGGGAAUAUAAGCAGAAGGAUCACUCUUGAAGGUCUUCUUGGAUACGACCACAGGACACGGCCUUAUCAGAAAGUUCUAGAAGGUCAAUUCCCUGUUUUACAGACAGUGAGCAUCAAAAUCUUGAUUUCCAUCUUCAAGUGGAGUUCAUCAUUUCCAGCUUUUGUCCGAGAAUGUCUGUGA